GCCAGGCACGGUGGCUCAGGCCUGUAAUCCCAGCAUUUUGGGAGGCUGAGGCAGGAGGAUCACCUGAGGUCAGGAAUUCUGAGACCAGCCUGGCCAACAUGGUGAAACCCUGUCUCUA
rnacentral:SRP_RNA from 1 species